rnacentral:rRNA from 1 species
AGGGUUUGAUUAUGGCUCAGGAUGAACGCUAGCGAUAGGCCAAACACAUGCAAGUCGAGGGGCAGCAUAGGGUAGCAAUACUUUGAUGGCGACCGGCGCACGGGUGAGUAACGCGUAUGCAACCUACCUAUAACAGGGGAAUAACCCGGAGAAAUUCGGACUAAUACCGCAUAAAACAGGGGCUCCGCAUGGAGAUAUUUGUUAAAGAUUUAUCGGUUAUAGAUGGGCAUGCGUUCCAUUAGCCAGUUGGUGAGGUAACGGCUCACCAAAGCAACGAUGGAUAGGGGAACUGAGAGGUUUGUCCCCCACACUGGAACUGAGACACGGACCAG